GACGCCAAGAGUGCAAGUAGCUCAAGCCAAGCAAGGUCGAAGCCAGGUUGACCACGUGACCGUAUGUCAACGGACCGUCAAGGCCUGUUUCAUCGGACCGCUCUGCCGAUCUCUCGGCGUGGAGGAAACGUAAACAAAGGAGCUGUGCGCACCUGCUUUAAACAGAAGGCAGAAAACAAUGAGCCAGCCAUCAUCGUGCAGGAAGCCGACGCCAAAUGGGCUGCUGCUGAAUCGGUCAGGCAUGCACCAGCUAGGACCAAGAAAAUGGAGCAGUGUGCCUCUUCUCAGGAGUGACCGAGGGGCUGCCACAAGGGGAGAAGGCA
rnacentral:lncRNA from 1 species